GGCGAUGUAGCUCAGUCGGUAGAGCAGUGGAAUCAUAAUCCAUUGGUCGGCGGUUCAAGUCCGUCCAUCGCUACCA
rnacentral:tRNA from 1 species